AAGGAGUCUAACAUAUAUGCGAGUAUUUGGGUGGCAAACCCUUAUGCGUAAUGAAAGUGAAAAUGGUGGGAUUCAUGCACCAUCGACCGGUCUGGAUUUAUUGAAAGAUCUGAGUAAGAGCAUAUAUGCUGGGACCCGAAAGAUGGUGAACUAUGCCUGAAUAGGGUGAAGCCAGAGGAAACUCUGGUGGAGGCUCGUAGCGAUUCUGACGCGCAAAUCGAUCGUCAAAUUUGGGUAUAGGGGCGAAAGACUAAUCGAACCAUCUAGUAGCUGGUUCCCUC
rnacentral:misc_RNA from 1 species